GAAGGCAUAGUUCAAGUGGUAGAGCGCAUGCUUAGCAUGCAAAAGGGCCUGGGUUCAGUCCCCAAUCCCUUCU
rnacentral:tRNA from 1 species